rnacentral:rRNA from 1 species
UACGUAGGGUGCAAGCGUUACUCGGAAUUACUGGGCGUAAAGGGCGCGUAGGCGGCCCGCUAAGUCGAACGUGAAAUCCCCGAGCUCAACUCGGGAACUGCGUCCGAUACUGGUGGGCUUGAAUCCGGGAGAGGGAUGCGGAAUUCCAGGUGUAGCGGUGAAAUGCGUAGAUAUCUGGAGGAACACCGGUGGCGAAGGCGGCAUCCUGGACCGGCAUUGACGCUGAGGCGCGAAAGCUAGGGGAGCAAACGGG